AUUGAACGCUGGCGGCAGGCCUAACACAUGCAAGUCGAGCGGCAGCGGGAAAGUAGCUUGCUACUUUUGCCGGCGAGCGGCGGACGGGUGAGUAAUGCCUGGGAAAUUGCCCAGUCGAGGGGGAUAACAGUUGGAAACGACUGCUAAUACCGCAUACGCCCUACGGGGGAAAGCAGGGGACCUCCGGGCCUUGCGUGAUUGGAUAUGCCCAGGUGGGAUUAGCUAGUUGGUGAGGUAAUGGCUCACCAAGGCGACGAUCCCUAGCUGGUCUGAGAGGAUGAUCAGCCACACUGGAACUGAGACACGGUCCAGACUCCUACGGGAGGCAGCAGUGGGGAAUAUUGCACAAUGGGGGAAACCCUGAUGCAGCCAUGCCGCGUGUGUGAAGAAGGCCUUCGGGUUGUAAAGCACUUUCAGCGAGGAGGAAAGGUUGAUGCCUAAUACGUAUCAACUGUGACGUUACUCGCAGAAGAAGCACCGCUAACUCCGUGCCAGCAGCCGCAGUAAAAC
rnacentral:rRNA from 1 species